rnacentral:rRNA from 1 species
AAUGGCAGGUCAGCAUACUGCCGUGAAUACGUUCCCGGGCCUUGUACACACCGCCCGUCACACCAUGAGAGUUGGGAAUACCCGAAGCCUGUGAGCUAACUUUUAGAGGCAGCAGUCGAAGGUAGAAUCAGUGAUUGGGUGAAGUCGUAACAAGGUACC